UAGAAAUGAUUUCGUGGUCAUGGGAGAAAGUAUGAAGCUUGGAGGAGUGGUGAAAUUGGUUCGAACAAUUUUUAUUCGAAAACUGAACGUUUUAGGGGAGGUCAAAGGAGUUGACUUUUUAUACGUUCAUAAUUGGGGAAAACUUCCUUCAUGAAAGUUGUAGAGCUCGUCGAUACGAUCUCGUGCAUAUGUGGUAUGCAAAAAUCAGAGUUCGUAUGAAUUAGUUAUGAUUUUUUUGAAAAAGUUUCCAGUUUAGUAUAAAGCUGCCAUUUUUGGAAAUUACCAAAAAUAAUUUCAGUUCCAUUUCUGGAAACCGAACUCUCUCUCUCUUGCGCGCGUCCGAGCCCAGAAAAAACAGAGCAAAGCUCUCCGGCCGAGUUCUCCCUCCUCCGGCCACCAAUCGACACCAGACCACCUCCCUUGCCUUCGCCUCGACGCCGCCUACCUGCUAGACGUGAUCACUUCCACCGGAACGGCCUCAAAUCCGGCAGUCGGAGUCGCAAACUUUGAAACAAAAAUCGGUCAACGCCGGUUUUCUCCUAGCUCCGGCCACCAAAACUCACGAUCCUUAGCUCCCUGAACUCGCCUCAACCUUCUGAUCAUCAUUCUAGAAGGAUCGCACCUGGAGUGAUCGGAUUCACGUUCGUCGGAGCUCGCCAGAUUCUGGAAAUUUUCCACCACCACCGAAGCUUUUGAUAGGUAUAUCUCGAGUUGUAGUGCAUCGUUUUGAGUGAUUCUUGAACUGGUAAACUCACCUUGAGUUUCUUAACAACUCUCUAGAAGGAAUCGAAGCCUGAAAUUGAAGUUUUGACGUCGAAAUCAAGCCUUGCCGGAUUCUGCAAAAUUCUGGAAUUUUUCCGACCACCGAAGCUUUCGAUCGGUAUAUCUCGAGCUACAGACCAUAUUUUUCUGUGAUUCUUGAACCAGUGAGUUCUUCUUGAGUUUCUUAACAACUCUUCAGAAGGAAUCGAAGCCUUAAAUUGACGUUUUUACGUCGAAUUGGAGCUCGCCGUUUUCUGCAGUUUCUCGCCGGUUUCUGGAAAAUUCUGGCCACCUUCAUACUGUUCAAGGUGAUCGACGGUUUGAUUUGGCGGACGAUUCGUGAAAUUGUAUUUUGAGCUGUUAAGAAGACGCAGCGGGAAUUUAGAGCGGGUAAUCCUACAGGUCAGGAGAACCAGGACGGUGAUCGGGCUGCUUAGAGUAGUGUUAUGUGAAUUACAGCAUUAUAUUGUGAGGUUUGUUAUGCUCAUUUAGAGCUUUACGAUUUUACUUUGUAAGAGUGAAUUGUAAUAAUUAACUCGAGGUUUUCGAGUUUUGUGUUGAGUGGCGAGUGGUGUGUUUGUUUCUGAAAAAAAAAAAUUCAGAACGUUAUUUGUAUUAAUUGUUUAUUCAUGUUUCGGAUUUGAAUUUAUUAUUCAAAAUUCGG